UCACUUAAUUGUGCCGAUCCCAU
rnacentral:siRNA from 1 species